GCUAGGGGUGGUGGCGCAUGCCUGUAAUCCCAGUGGCUCGGGAGGCUGAGGCAGGAGGAUCUUGAGUUCAAAGCCAGGCUUAGUAAAAGUGAGGCGCUAAACAACUCAGUGAGCCCCUGCCUCUA
rnacentral:sRNA from 1 species